rnacentral:lncRNA from 1 species
GGACGAUCGAGAUCCGGAGACGUCCUUCUCUUCUUCUUCAUCCGAGGCGGGCGAUCUGGAAGGGGCGCCGGAAGGAAGCUACUGCGUCUGGACGCCGAAAUCGAUUACGGAAUCUUCAGUAAUCGGAGCGUCGCCUUCUCCGGGGAGAUGCGUGAAGAGCAAUUCGACGGGAUCGUCGUCGUCGAAGCCGCGGUGGCGACUGCGAGAUUUGCUCCGUAGAUCCAGCAGCGACGGCAAAGCGGUGUCGCAUUUCUUAGUCAAUCCGAACUCUAGUAGUAGUUGUGGUAAAGUCGAUGAAGUCAAAUUGGGGAAAAAGAUAGAUGAGAAGUCUCAGGCGAGAAAACCACCGCCGGCGGGAAAAUCGACGAGGAAG